UGGGAGGUCGUCUAACGGCAGGACGGCGGACUCUGGAUCCGCUAGUGGAGGUUCGAAUCCUCCCCUCCCAGCCA
rnacentral:tRNA from 1 species